rnacentral:rRNA from 1 species
GAUGAACGCUGGCGGCGUGCCUAAUACAUGCAAGUCGAGCGAACAGACGAGGAGCUUGCUCCUCUGACGUUAGCGGCGGACGGGUGAGUAACACGUGGAUAACCUACCUAUAAGACUGGGAUAACUUCGGGAAACCGGAGCUAAUACCGGAUAAUAUAUUGAACCGCAUGGUUCAAUAGUGAAAGACGGUUUUGCUGUCACUUAUAGAUUGAUCCGCGCCGCUUUAGCUAGUUGGUAAGGUAACGGCGUACCAAGGCGACGAGGCGUAGCCGACCUGAGAGGGUGAUCGGCCACACUGGAACUGAGACACGGUCCAGACUCCUACGGGAGGCAGCAGUAGGGAAUCUUACGCAAUGGGCGAGAGCCUGACGGAGCAACGCCGCGUGAGUGAUGAAGGUCUUCGGAUCGUAAAACUCUGUUAUUAGGGAAGAACAAAUGUGUAAGUAACUAUGCACGUCUUGACGGUACCUAAUCAGAAAGCCACGGCUAACUACGUG